GCCAGGCAUGGUGGUGCAUGCCUGUAAUCCCAGCUACUUAGGAGGCUGAGGUAGGAGAAUCGCUUGAACCCAGGAGGUGGAGGUUGUGGUGAGCCAAGAUUGCGCCACUGCACUGCACUCCAGCCUGGAUAACAGAGCAAGACCUUGUCUCAU
rnacentral:SRP_RNA from 1 species